CAGCCGCCGCGGUAAUACGAAGGGGGCUAGCGUUGCUCGGGAUGACUGGGCGUAAAGGGCGCGUAGGCGGCGGCCAAAGUCAGGCGUGAAAUUCCUGGGCUCAACCUGGACAGGCGGUGGAAACUACCAGGCUAGAGUACGAUAGGGGUAGAGGGAAUUUCCGGUGGAGCGGUGAAAUGCGUUGAGAUUGGAAAGAACACCAACAGCAAAAGCACUCUGUUGGGCCGACACUGACACUGAGAGACGAAAGCUAAGGGAGCAAAUGGGAUUAGAUACCCCAGUAGUCCCUGUCUCUUAUACA
rnacentral:rRNA from 1 species